AGCCCGCAAAAGAAGCAGAGGUUAUAAAAGCUGCGGUCGUCACAUCACGCGCACAGCCGGACUAUGAGUGGACAUCGCCUGACGGGAGAGCUUUCAGGAGAUUGUCAUCCGAUUAUUCUGCUGCACCCCUAAGCCUCCACAGCACAGCACACCAC